rnacentral:rRNA from 1 species
UACGAAGGGGGCUAGCGUUGCUCGGAAUCACUGGGCGUAAAGGGUGCGUAGGCGGGUCUUUAAGUCAGAGGUGAAAUCCUGGAGCUCAACUCCAGAACUGCCUUUGAUACUGAGGAUCUUGAGUUCGGGAGAGGUGAGUGGAACUGCGAGUGUAGAGGUGAAAUUCGUAGAUAUUCGCAAGAACACCAGUGGCGAAGGCGGCUCACUGGUCCAUAACUGACGCUGAGGCACGAAAGCGUGGGGAGCAAACAGG